UCCUUCCCCACUCCUAAUGCACACUUUUGUGCAUAUCAGAACAUUUCCUUAAAUCUAAUCUACCCCAUGAAAAUGCUGAUGGUCCUGGAGAGAUGGAUACCAUCUUAAAUUCAAGAUGAGAUGAGGUGGAGGGAAGAAGCAAGGUCUGUCUGGAAGGAAGCCAGAUGCUUCUUGGACAGAAGUACGAUAGUGUUACCUUCAGUAGUUUCAUGGUUGGUCUGAAGAGGAGGCAGAACGGUCCAUCCUUUAGGUACCCAAGCUAAGGUGCUGCUGACUGCUGCAUUCAUGGUGCCACCUCAGGGACGCCAUCAUCCAUGAGGCCCUCACUGGAGCCAAGCAGGCUCUGGUAGAACUUGGGAAAAACAACAGAAGGUCAAAGUGGACCAGGGAUUUUCUCAGAUCACACAGCUGGAGAAGGAAGCUAAAGUGAUUCCUCAUUACAAGACACAAAGAGCUGUGGCAAUAGAUGGAGUUCAAGACCAGGAGCUCACUGAACUUUUUGGUUGACUGACAACUUGGGAAGACCCAUUCAGACCCUACUGCUGCUUGGUUCUCUCCCUAACAGGUAAAUUGGAGAGUGCCUGGCACCUUAGUUCAGGGUCCUCUCUCUUCUCUGUCUGAACUCUGUUUUAAAGAUUCAUGACAUCACUGGGCACCAAAGUUAUAAAUGUCAUAUCUUUGUUGAUUAUUCUCAAGUUCAUAUUCUUGAGUUCUCAAUUUUCUUCUGACUCAUACAUUUAGCUUCCUGACUGACAUCUUUUCCUGGAUAUAUAUGAGGCAUCUCUGAGUUUAUAUGUUUGAGUCUUUCUCAUGCCCUGCCCCAACUUCCACAUCUAGUGGGUUCCUUCCCUAAUUGUCCUGAUGUUAGGAGAAGCUACUGCUGUGAUUUGAAUGUUUGUGUCUUCCUGAAAUUCAUAUUAAAAUCCCAAAGAUUUUAGGAGGUGAGGACUUCAAGAGGUUCAAGGUCACGAGAGUGGUGCUCUCCUGUGUGAAGGAGCUGCUGUGCCCAUGUGAGGACACAGCAAGAAGGCACCAUCUACAAACCAGGCCUAUCAUCAGGUACUGACAGGCCUGGGGCCUUCAUGGUUGAUUCCCAGUCUCCAAAAUUGUGGGAACAAUGUUUUGUUGUCCAUAAGCUACCCAUCUUAUAGUAUUUAUAUUAUCUGACUAGGACAGAUAUUAAUAUCUGUCUAAUUUAGAAGUCUCCUUAGUUUCUCCUUUUACCUCUCUUUCUUGACAUGUUUUCCAUUAAGUGCAAUGUGUUCUACUCUCAGCAUGGUUUAAACCAUAAUCUUCUUAAUAAACUACAUUAGUUAUUUCUCAGCUGAUCUUACUGAUCUAUUCUUGAUAUUCAGCAACUCAUUUCCAUAGCAGCUAGAGUAAGUGUUUAAAGAUUGAAACUUUUCAAAGUGAGUCCUCUCUUAAGACACUCCUCCCCAUGUUCUUGAUUUCUACUAAACAUGGAAGAAUAAUGGCUUGAAGAACGGCCAAGCCCUUGGUGCCUCUCUGACCUCACCAUGUGCCAUGCCAUCCUGACCCUUGCUCACUGUGCUCAAGCCACAGUGACCUCCUUUCUGUUUUUGGAAUAAAUUAACCUGAUUCAUGCCUCUUCCUUCUGUUUGGACUAUUCUUGCUACUCAUCUUUAUAGCUUUAGUUUCUCCCAUAUUAUGAUAUUUUAAAUCCCACAUAUCAUCUCAUAAAGAUUUUCUUGAAGACUUCACCCAAAUUGGCCUCAUUUAUCCACACUCUCUCCUACAAGCCUGUUUAUUUCCUUGCUUUUAAUUAUUCCGAUCUAAAAGUAGUUUACU